CUGCCCUUCACUCUGGGACAAGCCCUGGAAACGGGGUCUAAUACCGGAUAACACUUCUGCUCUCAUGGGCAGGGGUUAAAAGCUCCGGCGGUGAAGGAUGAGCCCGCGGCCUAUCAGCUUGUUGGUGAGGUAAUGGCUCACCAAGGCGACGACGGGUAGCCGGCCUGAGAGGGCGACCGGCCACACUGGGACUGAGACACGGCCCAGACUCCUACGGGAGGCAGCAGUGGGGAAUAUUGCACAAUGGGCGAAAGCCUGAUGCAGCGACGCCGCGUGAGGGAUGACGGCCUUCGGGUUGUAAACCUCUUUCAGCAGGGAAGAAGCGAAAGUGACGGUACCUGCAGAAGAAGCGCCGGCUAACUACGUGCCAGCAGCCGCGGUAAUACGUAGGGCGCAAGCGUUGUCCGGAAUUAUUGGGCGUAAAGAGCUCGUAGGCGGCUUGUCACGUCGGGUGUGAAAGCCCGGGGCUUAACCCCGGGUCUGCAUUCGAUACGGGCUAGCUAGAGUGUGGUAGGGGAGAUCGGAAUUCCUGGUGUAGCGGUGAAAUGCGCAGAUAUCAGGAGGAACACCGGUGGCGAAGGCGGAU
rnacentral:rRNA from 1 species